rnacentral:rRNA from 1 species
AGAGUUUGAUCCUGGCUCAGGAUAAACGCUGGCGGCGUGCCUAACACAUGCAAGUCGAACGCCCUGCGUAAGCAGGACGUGGCGGACGGGUGAGUAACACGUGGGUACCUACCCUUAAGUGAGGAAUAUCGGCGAGAAAUCGCCGGCAAUACCGCAUACGUUUCGCAAGAAACAAAGCUCCGCAAGGAGCGCUUGAGGAUGGGCUCGCGCCCGAUUAGCUAGUUGGUGAGGUAAUGGCUCACCAAGGCGUUGAUCGGUAGCUGGUCUGAGAGGAUGAUCAGCCACACUGGGAUUGAGAACGGCCCAGACUCCUACGGGAGGCAGCAGUGAGGAAUUUUCCGCAAUGGACGCAAGUCUGACGGAGCAACGCCGCGUGCAGGAUGAAGGUCUUCGGAUCGUAAACUGCUUUUGUCUGGGAAGAGAACGGACGGUACCAGACGAAUAAGCCCCGGCUAACUACGUGCCAGCAGUCGCGGUAAUACGUAGGGGGCAAGCGUUGUCCGGAAUUAUUGGGCGUAAAGCGCACGCAGGCGGUCUAGUAAGUUCAAGGUGACAGUCAUCGGCUUAACCGGUGAAGUACCUUGAAAACUGGUAGACUUGAGUACGAGAGAGGGACACGGAAUUCCAGGUGGAGUAGUGAAAUGCGUAGAUAUCUGGAAGAACACCGAAGGCGAAGGCAGUGUCCUGGCUCGGAACUGACGCUCAGGUGCGAAAGCGAGGGGAGCAAACAGGAUUAGAUACCCUGGUAGUCCUCGCGGUAAACGAUGACCACUAGAUGUGGGAGGGCUCGACCCCUUCCGUAUCGCAGUUAACACAAUAAGUGGUCCGCCUGGGGAGUACGAUCGCAAGAUUAAAACUCAAAGGAAUUGACGGGGACCCGCACAAGCAGCGGAGCGUGUGGUUUAAUUCGAUGCGACGCGCAGAACCUUACCAGGAUUUGACAUGUCGAGGCACCAGCCAGAGAUGGCUGUCCGAGCAAUCGGCCUCGACACAGGUGCUGCAUGGCUGUCGUCAGCUCGUGCCGUGAGGUGUUGGGUUAAGUCCCCCAACGAGCGCAACCCUUGUCGUCGGUUGAAACUGUCCGGCGAGACCGCCACCACACAGUGGAGGAAGAUGGGGAUGACGUCAAGUCAGCACGGCCCUUACAUCCUGGGCGACACACACGCUACAAUGGCUGGCACAAACGGUGGCCAACCCGCGAGGGGGAGCUAAUCCAAGCAAAGCCAGUCUCAGUUCGGAUGGUAGGCUGCAACCCGCCUGCCUGAAGCCGGAGUUGCUAGUAACCGUGGGUCAGCACACCACGGUGAAUACGUUCCCGGGUYUUGUACACACCGCCCGUCACACCACGAAAGUCGGCAGCACUUGAAGCCGCCGGGCUAACCCUUCUUCGGAAGGGAGGCAGGCUCCAG